rnacentral:rRNA from 1 species
AUGGCUCCUCAGCAGGAGAGCAACAAGAGCGGCGCCGCGAUCACGCCGAAGGUGGAGGAGGAAGAAGGGGAAGAGGAGGACGACGAGGAGCAUCAUCAUCAUGGCGAGUGGCCGCUGCUCUCGGCGUGUGAGCAGGAGCAGGAUGCCAGCAAGCCAUUGCCAUUGCCGGCGAAGAGGAGGAGGGGCAGCCUGAGCAGAUCAUCAAGAUCAGGCGAGCAGGGGCAGGGGCAGGAGGAGGCGGCUGGGCCCCGCGGCGGCGCACGGUCGCUGUCCUUCUCCAGGCUCUUCAGCAGCUUCAGGAUGAUGGCCACCUCCUCCACCUCCACCUUGGACAUUGACGAGCUAGCGGCCGCUGAAGACGGCUGUGCAGCUCUCAACCCUCAGCAGCAGCAGCAGCAGCAGCAGCGGAAGCCGGUGUGCCGGACAAAGUCGAUGCCGAUGACGAGCAUCUCCAGGAGGCUGCCCGCCCAUGGCAGCAAGAAGCGGGUGGCGGACUCGAGCUCCCUGCGCCGGUUCUGGGUGUCGUCGGCGACGCCCGCGCCAUUGCCGGAGUCGGCGCCGCCCUCUUCGCCAUCGCCGUCAGAAGAAGGAGAGGAAGAGGAGGUGGGGGAGGAGGAGGCGGUGUGCCCGAUCUGCAUGGUGGCGCUGCUGGAGGAGGAAGAAGGAGCAGGCGACGGCGUGCUGAAGCUGGAGUGCCGGUGCAAGGGCGAGCUGGAGCUGGCGCACCGCCGCUGCGCGCUCAAGUGGUUCGGCAUCAAGGGCAACCCCAACUGCGACGUCUGCGGCCACGACGUCCUCAACCUCCCCGUCACCCUCCGCCGCGUCGCCGUCCCUCCCCCUCCACCUCCUCCUCUCGCCGCCGGCAAUGGCAAUGGCAGCCAUGAAGGAGGAGAAAGAGAAGCAAGAGAAAGGGGAUUCAGAAAGGUGUGGCGGCACGGGAUGGUGAUCCUGGUGACGGUGAGCAUGUUGGCCUACUUCUGCUUCCUGGAGCAGCUGCUGGUGGGCGAGCACGGCAAUCGCGGCGGUGGCGCUGGCCGUCUCCGCGCCCUUCGCCGUCGUGCUCGGCACCUUCUCGGCGCUCACCACCGCCGGGAUGGCCUCCUCCCGGCGGUACGUGUGGGCAUACUCGGCGCUGCAGUUCCUGCUGGUCGUCCUCUUCACCCACCUCUUCUACCGCUACGUCAGGAUCCAGGCCGUCAUCGCCAUCAUCCUCUCCGCCUUCGCUGGCUUCGGCGUCCCCAUCUGCGCCAACGCCGUGCUGCUCCAGGCCGCCCGCUGGAGGGCCGCCACCGCCGGCCGCCCCCCGCCGCCGUCGGACCUCGGUACCCCUCAGCCAUAGACAACAUACAUACAUAUGUAUACUCUGCUCUGCUUUCUAUUUUCUUACUUACUGUAUAUAUACUCUAUAUAUAG